UAUAAUUUUUGACUAUUCGUCUUAUUCAAAAAUUUUUUGCGAUUGAUAUUUUUGUUUUUAUUAGAUGAUAACUCAUGAAUAGUACUUUACGUGUGACUAAUUUUUUUAAUUUUCUAAAUUUUUUUAAAUAAGAUGCACGAUCAAACGUUGUACACAGAAACC
rnacentral:pre_miRNA from 1 species